UACAGAGGUGGCAAGCGUUGUUCGGAAUUACUGGGCGUAAAGGGCGCGUAGGCGGCUUGGUCAGUCCCGUGUGAAAGUCCCUCGGCUCACUGAGAACUGCACGGGAAACUGCCUAGCUUGAGUUCGGGAGAGGGAAGCGGAAUUCCGGGUGUAGCGGUGAAAUGCGUAGAUAUCCGGAGGAACACCGGUGGCGAAGGCGGCUUCCUGGACCGACACUGACGCUGAGGCGCGAAAGCUAGGGGAGCAAACGGG
rnacentral:rRNA from 1 species